UGCGUAGGCGGGUCUUUAAGUCAGGGGUGAAAUCCUGGAGCUCAACUCCAGAACUGCCUUUGAUACUGAGGAUCUUGAGUUCGGGAGAGGUGAGUGGAACUGCGAGUGUAGAGGUGAAAUUCGUAGAUAUUCGCAAGAACACCAGUGGCGAAGGCGGCUCACUGGCCCGAUACUGACGCUGAGGCAAGACUGGGGAGGCAAACA
rnacentral:rRNA from 1 species